AAUAGAUACCCCGGUAGUCCACGCCGUAAACGUUGGGCACUAGGCGUGGGGGGCAUUCCACGUCCUCCGCGCCGCAGCUAACGCAUUAAGUGCCCCGCCUGGGGAGUACGGCCGCAAGGCUAAAACUCAAAGGAAUUGACGGGGGCCCGCACAAGCGGCGGAGCAUGCGGAUUAAUUCGAUGCAACGCGAAGAACCUUACCAAGGCUUGACAUGGGCCGGACCGGGCUGGAGACAGUCCUUCCCUUCGGGGCCGGUUCACAGGUGGUGCAUGGUUGUCGUCAGCUCGUGUCGUGAGAUGUUGGGUUAAGUCCCGCAACGAGCGCAACCCUCGUUCCCAUGUUGCCAGCACUUCGGGUGGGGACUCAUGGGAGACUGCCGGGGUCAACUCGGAGGAAGGUGGGGACGACGUCAAAUCAUCGAUGGCCCCCUUAUGGCCUUGGGCUUCACGCAUGCUACAAUGGCCGGUACAAAGGGUUGCGAUGCUGUGAGGCUGAGCCAAUCCCAGAAAGCCGGUCUCAGUUCGGAUUGGGGUCUGCAACUCGACCCC
rnacentral:rRNA from 1 species